rnacentral:rRNA from 1 species
UACAGAGGUGGCAAGCGUUGUUCGGAAUUACUGGGCGUAAAGGGCGCGUAGGCGGCUUGGUCAGUCCCGUGUGAAAUCCCUCGGCUCAACUGAGGAACUGCACGGGAAACUGCCUGGCUUGAGUUCGGGAGAGGGAAGCGGAAUUCCGGGUGUAGCGGUGAAAUGCGUAGAGAUGUGGAGGAACACCGAUGGCGAAGGCAGCCUUCUGGGCCAACACUGACGCUCAUGCACGAAAGCGUGGGGAGCAAACAGG